rnacentral:tRNA from 1 species
UGGUCGGGAUAGCUCAGCUGGUAGAGCAGAGGACUGAAAAUCUC